rnacentral:rRNA from 1 species
UACGAAGGGUGCAAACGUUGCUCGGAAUCAUUGGGCGUAAAGCGCACGUAGGCGGCAUUCUAAGUCGGAUGUGAAAUCCCUCGGCUCAACCGAGGACGUGCAUCCGAAACUGGAAUGCUCGAGUAUGGAAGAGGGUCGCGGAAUUCUCGGUGUAGAGGUGAAAUUCGUAGAUAUCGGGAGGAACACCAGUGGCGAAGGCGGCGACCUGGGCCAAUACUGACGCUGAGGUGCGAAAGCGUGGGGAGCAAACAGG